UUGUGUUCCGGGUAGUGAAUAACAAGACUGUCUUCAAAAGAAAGCCAGGGAUUUGCGAGAUUGAGAGUGUUGGUGAUAGAUAUCCGUUUGAAUUAAAGUUUGAUCUCCAGCACAAGAGCGCGUUUCUCAAUGCCGCUAGACUGUCAAAGAUGGCAUGGAUACUUAAGUCUGUGGAGUUGAUCACUGUGCUCAGCUUCCCUAUUCUUGGCCUGGGUAACCUCAUGUUUACGGCACCCAAUUAGUUGAUUUGAGAUGUAUAAAGUAUAG
rnacentral:lncRNA from 1 species